GGAACUUGUAGUUUAAUGAUCAAGAAAAGGGCUAAACAAAGGAGAUUAGAUUUAAGAUUCUUGUUUGAAAAAAAAAAGAGAGAUACAGAAAUGAUAGAAUAAAGGGUAAGAUUAUUGAAUCUACUCUGAAAAGAAAAAAAGAGAGAAUAUAGAUAUGAUAUAGAUAAAAAGGUAGAUUAUUGAGUCUACUUUUAAAAGACAACUACUAGUCUUAAAUACUUUACAUUGGAUUGGAUUUUUAUAUAUUGUAUAUAAAUUAUAUAUAUAUAUAUAUUGAGAUUGAUAUUGUUAGAAAAUGCUGUACUAUAUUUCUAAUCAUACUCAGGAUAGUGUACUUAUACAGUUUAUUUAACAAUGUAAUGCAAUUUGCUAAUCCUUGAAUGUUAUUAUUACCAAUUAUUAGGAUAUAAAAAAUGAAUGUUAGGAGUUAGACAGUACAGUCAAACUUGUAGUCACAUUAGGUGUUUUCAAGGUUAAACAGAGAUAAUUUAGAAAGACAGGUCAUCUUCACACCCUUCAGAGAUCUACAGAAUAUGGCAUUUAAAAUGUUUUAAUAGCUUAGAAUUUUUUUUCUUUUUUUUAUGACUGCAAUAUGUCAGCUCCUGGCAGCACCAAACUACUUCAGAGAAGAUAUGGGCAUUGAAGAAACUGCAUAUGGAGUUAACUUUCACUGUGGCAAAAGUUAGCCACUGGGCAACAAUGUGCCCUCCCAUCAACUGCUGACAGUAUGCUAUCCAAAAUGGACAAAAAACACAAAACAAAGGACUACCGAUCCUUGCCAAGACAAGUGUGGUUUUGGCUUUAGCAGCAGGCAUCCUCUGAGGCCAAGACAAUAUGGCACCAUCACUGAAGUGGCUUUGCAAUCCAGAAAAGAUAUCCUAACUGUUAUUUUACCCUGCUCCCUCCUUUUCAUAACAGCUGUGACUGCCCUUUGCAAAACAUUGUUGUGGAGAAUUUGGAACACUAAAACUUAUCUCAACACCAAAUAUCAACUCUAAACUCCAAAAUGCAUGCUGUAUGUAUGGAAGAAGUAAAUAUUCAAGUUUUUCAUUCAAAGAGAAAUGUAAGCUAGUAUUUUAUUUUUGGAAAUAGAUGGAUCUCUUAAGCUUUAAAGCAAAGAGAAUAAUUAUGUAAAAAUUUUUCAUCUUUCUAUAUAGCAAACAAAUAGAAAUCAUGUUGACAAC